rnacentral:misc_RNA from 1 species
GAACAAACCAGUUGGAAAUGGAAAAAAAUUGUUUUGAACAAGUAUUCGUAAUGUACAGCUGAAUUGGGC